rnacentral:rRNA from 1 species
UACGUAGGGGGCUAGCGUUGCUCGGAAUCACUGGGCGUAAAGCGCACGUAGGCGGCUUUUUAAGUCAGGGGUGAAAUCCUGGAGCUCAACUCCAGAACUGCCUUUGAUACUGAAGAUCUUGAGUUCGGGAGAGGUGAGUGGAACUGCGAGUGUAGAGGUGAAAUUCGUAGAUAUUCGCAAGAACACCAGUGGCGAAGGCGGCUCACUGGCCCGAUACUGACGCUGAGGCACGAAAGCGUGGGGAGCAAACAGGG